CUCUUCGGCGCGGGGUAGAGCAGUUUGGUAGCUCGCAAGGCUCAUAACCUUGAGGUCACGGGUUCAAAUCCUGUCUCCGCAAUAC
rnacentral:tRNA from 1 species